rnacentral:rRNA from 1 species
UACGUAGGGGGCAAGCGUUGUCCGGAUUUAUUGGGCGUAAAGAGCGUGUAGGCGGCCAGGUAGGUCGGUUGUGAAAACUGGAGGCUCAACCUUCAGAGGUCGACCGAAACCAUCUGGCUAGAGUCCGGGAGAGGAGAGUGGAAUUCCUGGUGUAGCGGUGAAAUGCGCAGAUAUCAGGAAGAACACCCGUGGCGAAAGCGGCUCUCUGGAACGGUACUGACGCUGAGACGCGAAAGCGUGGGGAGCAAACAGG